rnacentral:lncRNA from 1 species
CGAACAGGAAGAGGACGAGAAAAAUAACCGUCCGCGACGCCGAGUGGAAGUGGAUUAGAGCCACCAUGAACAGCAAAGGUCAAUAUCCAACACAGCCUACCUACCCUGUGCAGCCUCCUGGGAAUCCAGUAUAUCCUCAGACCUUACAUCUUCCUCAGGCUCCACCCUAUACUGAUGCUCCACCUGCAUACUCAGAGCCUCCACCUCCUGGAUGCCCUCCCAACGCUGCUCAGCUUGCAGUCAUGCAGGGAGCCAACGUCCUUGUAACUCAACGCAAGGGAAACUUCUUCAUGGGUGGCUCAGAUGGUGGCUACACUAUUUGGUGAGGAGCUGUGGCCACUCCUGUGCCGGGGAAGACAUCACAUACUUCAGCACUUCUCACAAUGUAACUGCUUUAGUCAUAUUAACCUGAAGUUGCCGUUUAGACACAUGUUUUUGGGGUGUCUUUCUGGUGUCCAAACUUUGAGGCACUUUUCAAAUUUAAUAAGGAACCAUGUAAGGGUAGCAGUCCCUCCCUAAAGCAUUCUGAGGUAGGGAGGUGUCCAUUCUUCAAAUGAAUGUGAGGGAAGCGGCCCCAAGGCUCUUCCUUAAUUCCUCUGGAGUGAUACUGUGCCAUGCUGGUCUUUGCUUCUAGGAAUGAAACAUCAAAUUAGGUUUGGAGGGAACUUUGAUCUUCCUAAGAAUUAAAGUUGCCAAAUUAUUCUGAUUGGUCUUUAAUCUCUUUUAAGUCUCUGAUUUAUCU